AUAGACCACAGUCCCAGGAGGGGGAUCGGAGAAGUCUUGCACUGUUGCCAGGAAUUCUAAAACGCUAGAAUGCCUCAGGAAAGGACUAGCAGCAGCCAGGCAGUGCACCCAUGGUUGUCAACAACAAGCCAGUCGCAGAGGAAACGUGUGCCAACCGCUGGAAAGAGACAGCUGGGGACAGACAUAUCUGUAGGGUCAAUGGAGCAGUCCCCUCCAAAGGAAGGGGAUACACACCUCAGCAAGCAGCCUAAUACCUCCUCUCGAUGAGUAAGGGUGCUUUCCAACAAAAGAGGCACAAUCUGAUCAGGUAAAUGGCUUUUGCAUUUCGUUAUCAAGUGAGAUCAAAGGGGGGGGUGAUUUUGAAUCCCUGUACUAUCAAUCACUUGUCACCUUAUGUGUCUAUCAUCUGUUCUACAGCCUCUGGCUGGCUAUAUCCUCACCUGCCUAAUAACAGGAAGUUCACCAUUAGUGGGUAUUGCCUCAGCCUCACCGCAGAGUGUCAUCUCAUUUGAAGCACGGGAUAGCUAUAAAACAGCAUUCUCUCUGCCCCAUGGCAAUGUGUGUAGAAUCGUAGGAAGUUAGCAGUUUUCUCCCAAAAAAACACUCCUACCGUGCAGGAGCCCCCGUGAAACUGCGGUAUGCCACUGGUGUAGCUACUUAUGUUACUGCUUUUUUGGGGGGAUGAAUGAACUAGUCUUGCAAAUAUUCUUUGGGGAGAGAUCUCAAGUAGGCUAGUCAUUUUAAACAUGAGCAGAUCGAGGACCUCUAUGUCUUUGGUUUGCAUAUGCACCACCACCACCACCUGAGAAUGUGGCCUCCUGUCCCAUUAUUUUUAUGUUGUAUUUAUUUAUUUUAUUUCACCUUUAUUUUUAACCAGGUAGGCCAGUUGAGAACAAGUCUCCAGCCAGCCGCUAAACAGGCUGAUUGAUAACGCAGUGUCCAGAGUGGACGAAGUGACAGAAACAAAUAUGUGGCUGAAAUGUAUGUAGAAUAAAUGGGCACAGCAUUGCCCUGGGUAAUGUGUGGCUAUUGAGUAGGACUAGGACCUGUGUUUCUGUAGGAGUGCUGAUAGAGGUUCAGCUUAGCCCUUUAGAUCGUCGUUCAUUUGAUUAUUAUGGACAGAGACCACCUGACGCUAGAUCAGCACUCCUACUCUGAGGCACUUGGUACAUGCGAGCCAUUUAACUCUACCUUGAAACGACUUCAGUAGAGUUGAGAGAGAUUUGAUUAUCUCUGGGUGCCCUCUACUGGCAUUGA